rnacentral:rRNA from 1 species
AUUGAACGCUGGCGGUAUGCUUAACACAUGCAAGUCGAACGGCAGCAUGGGGAGCUUGCUCCCUGAUGGCGAGUGGCGGGACGGGUGAGUAACACGUAGGAAUCUACCUAGUAGGCGGGGGAUAACCCGGGGAAACUCGGGCUAAUACCGCAUAAUCUCUUCGGAGCAAAGAGGGCCUCUUCUUGAAAGCUCUUACUAUUAGAUGAGCCUGCGCCGGAUUAGCUUGUUGGUGGGGUAAAGGCCUACCAAGGCAACGAUCCGUAGCUGGUCUGAGAGGAUGAUCAGCCACACUGGGACUGAGACACGGCCCAG